AUUGAACGCUAGCGGGAUGCCUUACACAUGCAAGUCGAACGGCAGCACGGACUUCGGUCUGGUGGCGAGCGGCGAACGGGUGAGUAAUGUAUCGGAACGUGCCUAGUAGCGGGGGAUAACUACGCGAAAGCGUAGCUAAUACCGCAUACGCCCUACGGGGGAAAGCAGGGGAUCGCAAGACCUUGCACUAUUAGAGCGGCCGAUAUCGGAUUAGCUAGUUGGUGGGGUAACGGCUCACCAAGGCGACGAUCCGUAGCUGGUUUGAGAGGACGACCAGCAACACUGGGACUGAGACACGGCCCAGACUCCUACGGGAGGCAGCAGUGGGGAAUUUUGGACAAUGGGGGAAACCCUGAUCCAGCCAUCCCGCGUGUGCGAUGAAGGCCUUCGGGUUGUAAAGCACUUUUGGCAGGAAAGAAACGUCGUGGGUUAAUACCCCGCGAAACUGACGGUACCUGCAGAAUAAGCACCGGCUAACUACGUGCCAGCCGCCGCAGUAACAC
rnacentral:rRNA from 1 species